rnacentral:lncRNA from 1 species
AACAAUACACAUGCAACACAAUCGGAAGUACCUGCGAGAACGACUUCACUUGUCUCUUCUCCUACGUGAACUCCUCCACCUGCUGUCAAGAGGAGACCGACUGCGGCUGGGGAUUCAACUUCUACCUCUUUUAUUAUGCCUCUUAUUAUAGCGUGAAUCAUCAGAGUUACUGUCACUGGAACCGUCUCUGACCAAUCUCCCAAACUCAUCCGCCUUCGGAGGAACUGAUUCAAAGGUAGUCUUUGUACCCUCCGGAGACUUACCCCUCCUAGAAGCAACAUCAG